rnacentral:misc_RNA from 1 species
AAAAAAAAUAAAAAAAUAAAAAAUAAAAAAAAAUUCAGGGCACAACAUUCCAUCCCUGUCGAGACUCUUCCACUCGUUAACUCUGAAAUUUAUUACAACUUACAUGGUCAUUAGAAGACAUCAUAACGGGAGAUCUUAUUUACAAUAUUAUGCUCUUGACAGUCCCAAAAUUGCAUCUGCCAGCAGUAACCAAAAAUCCCAAGCUACUAGCGAUCUAUAAAUGAUUUGUUCAUGAGGUUGACUGCAUUAUCCAUGAACUGUAUAUAGAAGCAAUUUUAAAUCAUAAAUCAGGGGCAAAUAGAAACAUAGAUUUCAAAUUUCCAUAAGUCUUAACUUUUUAUUCAGUUAUUUCAUACAAAAUUACUAGAUAAAUUGAAAUUGCAAAUGUCCAAAAGAUAUGGUUUGCUUCUUAAUUAUAGUAAAUUAGUAACAAUAUAAAUAAUCAAAUGAAAGACAAGGUGCCUGAUCAGGUAAAUCCUUUCCAGAAAAUGUGAAUUCAGUUUCAACAAGCCUUAUUGCAGAACUAAAAGACAACUAAUGAACUCCUUUUAUCAAAAUUGCAAAAAUUAGGUUUAGGGUAACCUCCUUUAGUGCUUAUCCACUCUGCACAAGGCAAUAAUAAGAGAUUUCAACUGUAACAAGGUCUAAUACAGAUCCAUUCUGGAAUCUUAAUUUUUCCCUCAAUACCAGGUUCUAUUGAUAACAUACCAGUAACAUAUUAGCUCACCCUUGACCAAAAAAUAAGCAGAAACUGUACUUUCUAAUAUUCGCUCCAAAUCUUUGCAGUUUAACUAAUAUUACGCACUUAUACUGGUCAUGAAAACUAGCCUUUCCACUGCAAUUGCCAAUAGUAUUUGCAAUGCAUCCAUGCUGUCUUUGAAACAUUUAAAUUGAUUUGUUAUCCAUUGUAGAAUUUUAUAAGAUUAUUUCAAUAAAAAUAAUAGUUUGUGUUCUCAGACAUUAUUGAAAAACCGAUGAGCACUAUCUCAUUUUCGAAAGUAUUUAAUCAUCUAGUCAGGCCAUUAACAAUGGAUCAUUUAUUUAUUCUAUGCCUUCCUUGACAACAUAAUUACCAGAUAAAUUAUUUUCUGGUACAAUAAUUAACACAUUUCCAAUGCUAAACUUCAGUGCUGUUAUGCAUGUUUGGAAAAGAGAAUCAUGAUCAGUGCACAAGAAAUUGAAAUGCAACCACAGUAUCCAGCCCAUAGCCAAAUGGCUGAGGUUCCUCCACACCCCAUGCUCACAUCUGCUCAAUAAGGGACUGAAAACAAGGCAGUUACCCAUUGGCGGGGAUUCAUAUUGUUGAGACAUUUGAAAUAGACACAAGUGGAGAAACUGUUGUAUUACUUGAAGUCAGUUUUUUCUUGGUACAUAUUAAAUGAGAAAUCAUGAGAUUGUUUCAUUACUAUUAAAUCAGUUUUCUCUUGCUAUUUAUCUACUGUAAAAGUUCCAUCACCAAAUUUGGUGGCUAAGCUAGGUAGUGUGUUUCCAAACAUGGCCCUGAUUUAAAAAUCAUACCGGAAUUAUAAUGUCCUAUGUGGCUAUGACCAUGCCUGUGUCCAGACUCCAGAGGCCAUCUGUUGACCCCCAGAAAGGUUAUAUUCAUUCAAAAUCAUGAUGUUGGAUCUAACAAUUAUAAGGGAUCAACAAUUGCAAAAGUUUAUGUCCUUUGAACCAAUUUAUUAUGCCACUUACACAUAGUAGGAUAUGCCGGGAUUGUGACUGCUCACACAAUAAUUGACAUGGUUCACAAUUAUAAAUAUGAAAUGUUCCACUAUGAUUUGAGAAUAAUCUAGAUCAUAAUUACUAAAACCAAGUUUCAUUAAAAAAUAAUAGCAUUACCUUUCCGAGCAACUUAAGUUCUCGUCCAACUGGUUCCAUAAAUUUUAGAUUAAUAUCUAUAGGCCACACCUGAGAAAGUUAAAAAACAUGAUUAGACAAUAAGGGAGACAACAGAAGGACAAUGAGUGAAAGCUAAAAGCAAAGCUAGAUUUUUUCUGCAGACAAUACAAGGAAAAAAAAAUUAAAAUACUGCUGCUCUCAAUAGUGUUUUUGGCCAAGUUUAUAUAAAAUGUUAGCUCCAUGGAAGGCUCAUUUUUGCAAACAAGUACUUUUCUUACAGAGAUAAUAUUAAAAUUCCACAAAAAUGCCCCCCACUCUAGAAUAAUUCAAAGAGAAAAUCUCAUGGCACCUUAAUGAGCAAAAAACAGGAAAAUCCUGUAGUUAACACAUGGGUGCAAGAGAGAGAGAGGGAAUAUGAGAGAGGAUUUAAUGUCUACUGGUGCCAAAAGUCCUCAAAAAUGAAAAGAAAAAGCAAUCAACCCAUUGCCUUGAACAAAAGUCUAUAGGUAGUUCAUGCAAGCAAGAAACUUCAUAAUACUACUGACAAUGUUCACAUAUUAAAAAUUAUGAUCAUAUUCUUGAAUCAUACUGAAACCAGUUACAUAUUUUAUAUCAUUAGUUUAUUACAAACCAUUAUUGAAGUUAUUCUUCAAAAGGCAAAGCAUCUUGUGGUAGGCAUUGCCGGUGAUGCACCUGCACCAAGCUCAUAGACAAUCCCUGGUUUAAUAGCUACAAACUCUAUGCAAUAAGAAUCAUAUGUCUAUUCCCAAUUACAGAAACAAAAGUGCCAAUGUAACGUGCAAGUAUGCAGUGACUUGAAGACAAGUCUCGCUGCACACAUAAAACAAAUGCUUAGAUUGGAGUUCCUUACAUAAAAACUGGAGUUAUGUAAAUGUUAGAGCAUGAAUUAGCUUAUAGUUAUCAUACAAUAGCAAAUUUAGACAAGCAUAAUGAAAAACUUUUUCAUAUCAUUAUUUUAUUGAACUUUGAUUGCAUUUCACUAAUAGUUUUAAAUCAUGGUCACAGCCGCUUUCAUGGUCACGGUCGUUGAUAAUGGAAAUAGACCUGUUAUGGCCGUAACGUAAUGGCUACGA